GCGUUCGUAGAAAUGAGAGAUGGUUGGCAUCUACCUGACGGGGACGGGAACAGCCUUCAGGCUUACCUGUUACCGACACAUCCAGUUAAGGCUACGCACUUUGGUGGAUCUUCUGAUCCAAUUUU